AACGCGAAGAACCUUACCUGGGUUUGACAUGCACAGGACGCGUCUAGAGAUAGGCGUUCCCUUGUGGCCUGUGUGCAGGUGGUGCAUGGCUGUCGUCAGCUCGUGUCGUGAGAUGUUGGGUUAAGUCCCGCAACGAGCGCAACCCUUAUUUCAUGUUGCCAGCGGGUAAUGCCGGGGACUCGUGAGAGACUGCCGGGGUCAACUCGGAGGAAGGUGGGGAUGACGUCAAGUCAUCAUGCCCCUUAUGUCCAGGGCUUCACACAUGCUACAAUGGCCGGUACAAAGGGCUGCGAUGCCGCAAGGUUAAGCGAAUCCUUUUAAAGCCGGUCUCAGUUCGGAUCGGGGUCUGCAACUCGACCCCGUGAAGUCGGAGUCGCUAGUAAUCGCAGAUCAGCAACGCUGCGGUGAAUACGUUCCCGGGCCUUGUA
rnacentral:rRNA from 1 species